GAUGAACGCUAGCGGGAGGCCUAACACAUGCAAGCCGAGCGGGAUUUGAGACUAGCUUGCUAGUCUUAAUGAGAGCGGCGUACGGGUGCGGAACACGUGUGCAACCUGCCUUUAUCUGGGAGAUAGCCUUUCGAAAGGAAGAUUAAUAUCCCAUAAUAUAAUGAUUGGCAUCAAUUAUUAUUGAAAGCUCCGGCGGAUAGAGAUGGGCACGCGCAAGAUUAGAUAGUUGGUGAGGUAACGGCUCACCAAGUCGAUGAUCUUUAGGGGGCCUGAGAGGGUGAUCCCCCACACUGGUACUGAGACACGGACCAGACUCCUACGGGAGGCAGCAGUGAGGAAUAUUGGACAAUGGGUGAAAGCCUGAUCCAGCCAUCCCGCGUGAAGGAUUAAGGACCUAUGGUUUGUAAACUUCUUUUCUACAGGGAUAAACCUACUCUCGUGAGAGUAGCUGAAGGUACUGUAGGAAUAAGCACCGGCUAACUCCGUGCCAGCAGCCGCAGUAACAC
rnacentral:rRNA from 1 species